GGAUGGUUGAAAUAUGAGUUAUACAAAAUCUUGAUUUAAAAAAAAGUGAGAAUGUAUAAGAUCCAACUCUGAGGUCAUCAGAUA